UCCAAGAAGGCUGUGCCGAGGCCCUGCAGGGUCCUGACAGGCCGGAGGAGGAGCUGGACAAGGACUUCAUCGACCAGAGCAGUGACAUGCCCCUGGAUGAGCUGCUCGCACUGUACGGGUACGAGUCGUCAGAGCCCAUCUCUGAGCAGGAGAGCGAGGGCGGUGACACGGCUCCACCCCUCCCAGACAUGACCUUGGACAAGGAGCAGAUAGCCAAGGACUUGCUUUCUGGGGAAGAAGAGGAAGAAACACAGUCCUCCGCUGACGACCUCACCCCAUCUGUCACCUCCCAUGAGGCCUCGGACCUCUUUCAUAACCAGAGUGGGUCCCGGUUCUUGUCUGGUGACAACGGCCCAGGCUCCUCAGCCUCCUCCGACACCGAAGAGGACGCCCUUCCCGCCAACAAGUGCAAGAAGGAGAUCAUGGUAGGGCCUCAAUUCCAAGCUGACCUCAACAUCCUGCACUUGAACCGACAUUGUGACAAGAAUACCUCUGAGCUGUGGACCUGCAGUGGUGUCGUGCACAAAGGCUCCUUCCGUGGAGGCUGGUUCAGGAGGGGAGGCAGAUAACGGUAGAGUAUUAGCUCCUGGUGACCGCUGCUGUGACCUGUGCCUGGGAGAGACAGCAGAAAGGUGCAUUUCAGACUUCACUCAUGAAUGUGUGCGUGUGUGUAUGAGUGCACAGGCGUAAAAAUAAAUCUGUUUUGGCUUAC
rnacentral:lncRNA from 1 species